AUGAACUGUUCUAACCACAACACGACUCUGACAGAAUCUGAAGCAGUGGUUAAAAGGCCUGGAGAAUCCCACAGACUGACCUGUUCAGCCUCUGGAUUCACAUUCAGCAGCUACUAUAUGAGCUGGGUCAGACAGAAAACGGGGAAAGGACUGGAAUGGAUUGGACGCAUUGAUAGCGGAACUGGCACGAUAUUUGCCCAAAAUCUCCAAGGCCAGUUUUCCAUCACAAAGGACACAUCGAACAUUGUUGUGUACUUAGAGGUGAAGAGUCUUAAACAAGAAGACUCUGCUGUUUAUUUCUGUGCACGAGAGCCACAGUUACACAGCUGACGACAGAGCUGUACAAAAACUGAAAAACACUGAUCGUUGACCUGGAAGAACUGAAGCAUGUCAGAGGUUUGAAAACACAUUUUCUUCUGAAUAAUGUUACGACCGUGGUCACACUGGGUGUAUUUUUUACGGGUUUCUUUUGUCUUAGGUUGGUUAUGUUGUUGUCUGCAUGCUGUUGUUCUGUGUAAAUAGGUGUGCCUCCAAGCAGAAGGCCUGAGUUUGAGUCCGGCCUUUGGCCCCUUUCCCACUUGUCAUUGCCCUC